UUUUAUAUAACAAGUUUAAACACUAUUAUAGGGAGUCGGACCUGCCCAGUGACAUGACGUUAAACGGCCGCGGUACUCUGACCGUGCAAAGGUAGCAUAAUCAUUUGCCUUUUAAUUGGAGGCUUGUAUGAAUGGUUUGACGAGAGCUAAGCUGUCUCCUCUUAAAUAUAAAAAAAUUAAUUUUUAGGUGAAGAAGCCUAAAUUCAAUUGAGGGACAAGAAGACCCCUUUGAGCUUUAGUGAUCUAACAAAUUUUUAUAGCUGUCGAAAAGACAGCAGCGUAACAUUAAUGAAAACAUCAUUUGUUAAAAAUCUUUAGUUGGGGCGACUAAGGAACAUGAAAAGCUUCCUUUAAAUCUCUACUUAUCAGAAGUCAAUCUUAUACAAAGAUCCAGUACUUACUGAUCAGAGGAAAAAGUUACCACGGGGAUAACAGCGUAAUUCUUCUAGAGAGCUCAUAUCGAAGGAAGAGUUUGCGACCUCGAUGUUGGACUAAGAUACCCCAGAGGUGCAGAAGCUUCUGAUGGUUAGUCUGUUCGACUAUUAAAAUCUUACGUGAUCUGAUUUCAGAACCGGG
rnacentral:rRNA from 1 species